UUAUUACUCCCUCUGUCCGGAAUUACUUGUUGCAGAAAUGGAUGUAUCUAGAUGUAUUUUAGUUCUAGAUACAUCAAUUUCAAUCCAUUUCUGCGACAAGUAAUUCGGGGCGGAGGGAGUAGUAU
rfam:Triticum aestivum genome assembly, contig: Triticum_aestivum_CS42_TGACv1_scaffold_569925_7AS